rnacentral:rRNA from 1 species
GUCCACGCCUUAAACGAUGAGAACUAGACGUUGGAGGGGUUAGCCUUUCAGUGUCGCAGCUAACGCGAUAAGUUCUCCGCCUGGGGAGUACGGCCGCAAGGUUGAAACUCAAAGGAAAUUGACGGGGACCCGCACAAGCGGUGGAGCAUGUGGUUUAAUUCGAUGCAACGCGAAGAACCUUACCUGGCCUUGACAUCUGUCGAAAUCCUGCAGAGAUGUGGGAGUGCCUUCGGGAACGACAAGACAGGUGCUGCAUGGCUGUCGU